rnacentral:rRNA from 1 species
GAUGAACGCUGGCGGCGUGCCUAAUACAUGCAAGUCGAGCGAACGGACGAGAAGCUUGCUUCUCUGAUGUUAGCGGCGGACGGGUGAGUAACACGUGGAUAACCUACCUAUAAGACUGGGAUAACUUCGGGAAACCGUAGCUAAUACCGGAUAAUAUUUUGAACCGCAUGGUUCAAAAGUGAAAGACGGUCUUGCUGUCACUUAUAGAUGGAUCCGCGCUGCAUUAGCUAGUUGGUAAGGUAACGGCUUACCAAGGCAACGAUGCAUAGCCGACCUGAGAGGGUGAUCGGCCACACGGGAACUGGGACACGGUCCAGACUCCUACGGGAGGCAGCAGUAGGGAAUCUUCCGCAAUGGGCGAAAGCCUGACGGAGCAAGGCCGAGUGAGUGAUGAAGGUCUUCGGAUCGUAAAACUCUGUUAUUAGGGAAGAACAUAUGUGUAAGUAACUGUGCACAUCUUGACGGUACCUAAUCAGAAAGCCACGGCUAACUACGUG